GCGCGCCUGAGGGCGGCGUGGGCGCCAGAGGGGUUAUCUCGUACCCGGGGCACUUUGUGUCGGGGUGGGCAGUUGUAGAUAAGAGGCUCACAGAAGUGCCCCCCAGCCAACGUCCUAACAGGGGCCCCGGCAGGGUGUUACACCCACCAGUACAGAGCUUAUCUGUCUGCAGGUUCCAGCAUCAUCGCGUGACUCUCAUUGCCCAUCUCCACUCUGCCCUGCUGCUGGUUACUCUGCCUUGAGGCACACUGUCCAUCCCUCUUCUUUUACUCGGUUGUGUUUUUCACGUAAUCUUCCCAUUUCAUUAAUUUUUAGAUUAAAUAACAAGGCUAAUAACUUGCUCUAGUUGAAGUCUGAACAUUGUGCAUUAACCUAUACAACUUGUCAUCUGUCUUAAUUACAGUUCUUUCUCAUUCAUUUUUAAGCCCAGCGAAAAGAUCCAGUAACUUGUGAAGCUUAGGAGUUCUGUGCUAAUGAAUGUCAUUUGCUUACCGCCUAUUUUCUUUGUACUUGCUUUACUUCCUACAGUUCUACUAUUAGAUGAUCUUAGAGGUCUAGAUGAUUUCAGAGAUCUUUUCCAAAUUUAAUGAUCCUAUGAUUCUAUAUGGGCAAUACUGUUGGUAGGUGGAUGGUUGGACUAGAUGAUCAUAGAGAACAUCUUUUCCAAUCUUAAUGAUUCUAUGAAUUAACCUCCUGUAUUUUUUUUUCUUUCCUAUGAUCUUUCUGCUUCUGUUCUGUUUUUGUCACAUGAGUUUAAGAGAAGCUGCUUUCAUUAUCUUUCUGGGUGUUAACACCAUGAAAAACCAGUAUAGAUGUGAACUUCCAAAGUUUUUCAACCUAGAAGCAAACAAUGACAUACACAUAUAAUGAAAUAUGUUCUCAAAGAAUAAACACAUGGAAAGAGUCACUUCUAGGAUUCACACAAAAUUUCUUGUCAUCAAUAUUGAGUUUGCUUCAUGGUUUAUAACAUUCAUCUUAAUGGAGCACCAAGUUGGCAUUCUACUGGAGACAUUUAUUUAUUUUUAGUUGAUGUUUAUAUUGGAAGGAUGAUUUAGUGUCUGCCUGUUUUUGUAUCACUGACAUAGCAUUUGACAAGCAACCUUUCACAAACUAAGCGAAUAUGAUUGGGCAGAAUUUCAAAAUCUAUCAAACACCACUGCUAAGUUUUUAUUUAAUCACAAAAUAAAAGUUUUAUACUACCACCUAGAAAACUUUAAGAUGUUUUUCUUUAUUUCUAGUAUUGUCUAGCAUGUGUUUUAUACAUCAAAGGUUUUGUCUGGGUAAUUGAACAGAAACAGAUGUUUUUUUGUCUUUUCAUAUUCUUGCUGUGUAAGAUUACUGCUGCAUUGUCCUAUGUGAAUAGGACAUUAUGUUAUUUGUGAAUGUACAGGUACACAUGUAUACGUACAUAUUUAAUUUCAUAAACAUGACUUUUGUAUCUUAAGAAUUCCUAAUUUGGAAAAAUCUCACAGUUGUGUAACAGCAUAACAGGUAUAAAUUGAUCUUAGUUAAUUUGUCUUGACAAAUCACUUAAAAUAGUUUGAAUUGCCAUGAGCAGAUUUUGCUGUCAGUUAUUUAGUGGCAAAUUUUAACUAAGUGCAAUUAUAUCAAAGAGCUUUCUAACUGGUGGAAAUGAAGUGACAAUUUCAUCCUCAGUGUUUGGAUAGAGGGAUGCCAUUCCUAAAUUAAAUACUUAAGUUAAAGAUUCCCAUGCCUGUACUAACUUAUCUCUUUAUUUCAAAAUACUCAACUAAAACUGCUCAGGAAUGAAAACACUAAUCAGUGUUUAACUAAGAAAUGUCAUUCUUUAUUUUUUUUGGAGCAGAGUUUGGUCCCUUCUACUUAUGUGUGUCUUUUCUUACUGUUAUGGACAAUAUGUCCCACUUUUUACCAAGCUAAAACCUCUGAAAGAUUAUACUUGUUGCAACUGCAUAACUGCAUUUUAUGAAGUGCUCUUAUGCCAUGCUUUGGUCUCAAAAUUUCUGUCUGUACAGAGCAUAGACUGCAUCUGCGCAUUUCUUCCAGAGUUCUCCCAAGGCUGAAGUUAACACAAAUGAUUUUCUCUGUGUGAAAGGAAAUAAAGAAGAAAAAGAAAGGGAAAGAGAAAGAUUAAGAAGGAUUGAGUGAGAAAGAAAGAGAAAGAAAGAGAGAAAGAAUAAUAAAAAACAAGCGAUGUUCAGCCCAGUUUCUCACAACUUCAUGCCCAGCGGUGGCAGCCCUCCAAGCCAAUUCCCCUCAGUAUUAUUGUACAGCUUGACAUACAAUGGUAUGGGAUAUCCCUUUCACCAUUUUGGGUUGGCAGUCCUCAUUUUGUCCCUUUACAGGUUCUCGUGCACUCCCAACCUUCUUCCUGGGAGAGGAGCAUGAGAAGCUGAAAUGUCCUUGACAAAGUUAUUUAGCAACAACUAAAACAUUGGUGCAUUAUCCACAUUAUUUUCACCCUAAGUAAAAAGCACAGCACCUUAUCAGCUACUAUGAAGAAAAUUAUCUCUUUCCAAACCAAAAUCAGGACUAUGCUUUACCCUCCCAGGUCAGAGACUGGUGAUUUUCUGCAUAAUCAUCUACUAUCUGUUUUUAGCAACAUAAAACUCCUUAUAAACUUUAGAAAAAGUUAAAGUAAAAAAACCCUAAGCUCAAGGUCUACUGAAAAAAUAGAGAUAUAAAAAGGAUAUUGUUGGUAUGUCAGAAAUUUUGCUUUGUCAGUGGAAAGAAUAAUGAGGAGACUAUCUGCUUGUCAGCCCUUUUCUGGAGGGAGUGAAUAAAGGCUCUGUGAAGAGAAUUCCUGGCAAUUGCAUGGCACACUGUAAACUGAAAAGAAUAAACUUCAGCAUCCCAGAUGCCCUGGUUCCCUUUGUGCAUCACCCAUCGUAUUCUUGAUAAAGGAUCUGAUGAGUAUAAGUCUUUGAGAGGAUGUGAGCAUGAGCGCAGCUUCAGCUUUAUCUUGAACAUCACUGCACCCUUUGCUUGUGUAUCAAUUUCCUUUCCAAGAAUUAAUCAUAUUCCUACUUUUGUAGGUA